GACGAACGCUGGCGGCGUGCUUAACACAUGCAAGUGGAGCGACGAACCAGGGCUUGCCCUGGGGCAGAGCCGCGAACGGGUGAGUAACACGUGGGUAACUUGCCCCGAUGACUGGGACAACCCGAGGAAACUCGGGCUAAUACCGGAUGUGUCCGUGCACCAUCAGGCGCACGGGGAAAGGAAGCUUCGGCCUCCGCAUCGGGAUGGGCCCGCGGCCCAUUAGCUUGUUGGUGGGGUAACGGCCACCAAGGCUGCGAUGGGUAGCUGGUCUGAGAGGACGAUCAGCCACACUGGGACUGAGACACGGCCAGACUCCUACGGGAGGCAGCAGUGGGGAAUCUUGCGCAAUGCGCGAAAGCGUGACGCAGCAACGCCGCGUGGGGGAAGACGGCCUCGG
rnacentral:rRNA from 1 species